rnacentral:rRNA from 1 species
GGAAGUAAAAGUCGUAACAAGGUUUCUAUAGGUAAACCUAUAGAAGGAUUAUUA